AGAGUUUGAUUAUGGCUCAGGACGAACGCUGGCGGCGUGCUUCAUACAUGCAAGUCGAACGAUAAGGCCCCUUCGGGGGUACAUAAGUGGCGGACGGGUGAGUAAAAUGUAGAGAAUCUGCCCUUAAGCGGGGGACAACAGAGGGAAACUUCUGCUAAUACCCCAUAUGAGCGUAUCUGAAAUGGUAUUCUUGAAAACUCCGGUGCUUAAGGAUGAGUCUGCAUCUGAUUAGCUAGUUGGGGGUGUAAUGGACCACCAAGGCGACGAUCAGUAGCUGGUUUGAGAGGAUGAUCAGCCACAAUGGGACUGAGACACGGCCCAUACUCCUACGGGAGGCAGCAGUAGGGAAUUUUGCGCAAUGGGGGAAACCCUGACGCAGCAACGCCGCGUGACCGAUGAAGCCCUUCGGGGUGUAAAGGUCUGUCAGUGGGGACGAAACUUGACGGUACCCACAGAGGAAGCAUCGGCUAACUCCGUGCCAGCCGCCGC
rnacentral:rRNA from 1 species